rnacentral:rRNA from 1 species
GUGGGGAAUCUUGCGCAAUGGGCGAAAGCCUGACGCAGCCAUGCCGCGUGAAUGAUGAAGGUCUUAGGAUUGUAAAAUUCUUUCACCGGGGACGAUAAUGACGGUACCCGGAGAAGAAGCUCCGGCUAACUUCGUGCCAGCAGCCGCGGUAAUACGAAGGGGGCUAGCGUUGCUCGGAAUUACUGGGCGUAAAGGGCGCGUAGGCGGACAGCUUAGUCAGAGGUGAAAGCCCAGGGCUCAACCUUGGAAUUGCCUUUGAUACUGGCUGUCUUGAGUUUGGGAGAGGUGAGUGGAACUCCGAGUGUAGAGGUGAAAUUCGUAGAUAUUCGGAAGAACGCCAGUGGCGAAGGCGACUCACUGGCCCAAUACUGACGCUGAGGCGCGAAAGCGUGGGGAGCAAACAGGAUUAGAAACCCCGGUAGUCC